UACGAAGGGGGCUAGCGUUGCUCGGAAUCACUGGGCGUAAAGGGUGCGUAGGCGGGUCUUUAAGUCAGGGGUGAAAUCCUGGAGCUCAACUCCAGAACUGCCUUUGAUACUGAGGAUCUUGAGUACGGGAGAGGUGAGUGGAACUGCGAGUGUAGAGGUGAAAUUCGUAGAUAUUCGCAAGAACACCAGUGGCGAAGGCGGCUCACUGGCCCGUAACUGACGCUGAGGCACGAAAGCGUGGGGAGCGAUCAGG
rnacentral:rRNA from 1 species